rnacentral:rRNA from 1 species
CAGCAGCCGCGGUAAUACGGAAGGUCCAAGCGUUAAUCGGAAUUACUGGGCGUAAAGCGCGCGUAGGUGGUUUUUUAAGUUGGAUGUGAAAGCCCUGGGCUCAACCUAGGAACUGCAUCCAAAACUAGAUGACUAGAGUACGAAAGAGGGAAGUAGAAUUCACAGUGUAGCGGUGGAAUGCGUAGAUAUUGUGAAGAAUACCAAUGGCGAAGGCAGCUUCCUGGUUCUGUACUGACACUGAGGUGCGAAAGCGUGGGUAGCGAACAGGAUUAGAUACCCUGGUAGUCCACGCCGUAAACGAUGACAACUAGCUGUUGGGAGACAAGAUCUCUCAGUGGCGCAGCUAACGCUUUAAGUUGUCCGCCUGGGGAGUACGGCCGCAAGGUUAAAACUCAAAUGAAUUGACGGGGACCCGCACAAGCGGUGGAGCAUGUGGUUUAAUUCGAUGCAACGCGAAAAACCUUACCUACUCUUGACAUACUUGGAAGCUCUUGUAAUGAGAGUGUGCUUUUAGAGCCAAGAUACAGGUGCUGCAUGGCUGUCGUCAGCUCGUGUCGUGAGAUGUUGGGUUAAGUCCCAUAACGAGCGCAACCCUUACCCUUAUUUGCCAGCGGUUCGGCCGGGAACUAUAAGGGGACUGCCGGUGACAAACCGGAGGAAGGUGAGGACGACGUCAAGUCAUCAUGGCCCUUACGAGUAGGGCUACACACGUGCUACAAUGGGGAAUACAGACGGACGCUAAAGCGUGAGCUG